UACCUUGUAAAACAAUGACUAAAGUAAGUGGUUGUUGAAAUAUAGAGACUUUUAUCACUUUUUAGCAAAGUUGCACUGGACAAAAGCCACCACAAUUGAUGUACUGGUACUCGACACAGCAUUUGUGUCCAUUUUCAUGUAAAGGUAAUAUUGAUGUCUAAGAUUAAAGGUAACGUUAAGUGGUUUAAUGAGUCCAAAGGAUUCGGUUUCAUUACUCCUGAAGAUGGUAGCAAAGACGUGUUCGUACACUUCUCUGCAAUCCAGACCAACGGUUUCAAAACUCUGGCUGAAGGUCAGCGUGUAGAGUUCGAAAUCACUAACGGUGCCAAAGGCCCUUCUGCUGCUAACGUAACUGCUCUGUAAGAGUAAACGACAGCUGAAUUUCAAAACCCGCCUUCUGGCGGGUUUUUUUUA
rnacentral:other from 1 species